rnacentral:pre_miRNA from 1 species
UAAGUACUCCCUCCGUCCGGAAAUACUUGUCAUCAAAAUAGAUGAAAAUGAAUGUAUCUACAACUAAAAUACAUCUAGAUACAUCCAUUUCAAUGACAAGUAUUUCCGAACGGAGGGAGUAAUCG